rnacentral:lncRNA from 1 species
AAAAUAGCCCAAGAACUCAGUUCUCUUUUUCCUUCUUACAUUCUUGUCCUACUAACUGUGCCACUGAAACAUUUCCUUUCAUUGUUGGCACCUUGGGUCGUUGGGAUUUAAAAAUCAGACAAUACAUAACAACAAAGAAGUCUUUAAAUGCAGCUUUCCAAAUGGAAAAUGGCAUCUAAGGGCAUGCCUUCCUCUAGGCCCACAGAUACUGGAGCCCUGAGGUCUGGGGAACAGCAAAGACACCACCCAUUAGAGUCAGUGCCUUAAAAUCCACAUUCCCAGAGGGGAGAUAAUUUACCCGUUAAUGGAUUAAGAAAUUCCUGUCGGUUCCCUGUCAUAAGCAAGCUGUUUGGCAUGAAGUCAGAGUCCUUGGAAUUAAAACACUUCAAACUUUAGCAAAGGUGAUUAAGACUCAACUCAAAAUAUUUAUUCUAGGUUAAAAUCUUUAGGUUUCUUCAGUCCAAAUUUAAAUUGGCAGCAACGUGUUAAAUCAAGAGCAGAGUCAGGAUUAGGGAAUUCCAUGACCUUUGAUUAAUUGCGAUUACUAAAUCCAUCUUCCAGAGGAUGCGUUCAAUUACUAGCCAAAGGCAUCCUCCUAAAUUUACGUUUAUUUUUUUUAAGAGCUUCUCUUUAGGAGUAGGAGGGUCUGUUUUUAAGGACAACAAUCCUCCUUAAAAAGAAAAAACUCGCCAUCUGCAUAUUUUACAAAAUCACAUUUGACACUCUCAUUAUUUCUGCACAUAAACUUGUAGCUCACGGUAAGUACAAUUCCACAGGAAUUUUUAACAUGUUUUUUCCUCUAAGAGUUAGGUUACCAUUGAAAAUAAAGCUCAUUAACACACCACUCUAUUAACCAAAGAUUUUAACUGGUAAAAUAUAUAAUAAUCCACAGGUUGCUUUUGCAAAGAUAAAAAUAGUAAGAAUCAAAUACUUUCUCCUAGGCAAACUGAGUAAGGCAGGUUUCUUGCAGCAGAAUACGUUUCAGGAAAAAAACCUUUCGGCUCCAUUCUUAGAACACCCUCAAAUACCCAUCCCAGAGUUUCCAGUUUCCCCGAGAGAGAGAAAAAAAAAAUUACUACAUUCACUCAGUACUUACAAAGUACUUUCAAAGGAAAUCGGAGCUGCAAUUCUUCAGAAGACUGCUCCUGGGAUCACGAACACAAUCUCAGUCUAAAACAGGCUCCUCUCACAUCGGGCGAGAAGUCACAUUUCAGCUUACUAACUUCUACUUGGGUAAACAGUUUUACAACUCAUAGAACAAACCCCAGCUAAAAUUAACUGCACCGGCGAGGCCGGCAGGAACUCGCUGAUCU